UACAAGACAGGAGUGCGCUGGGUGAACCGGGUGUGAGUUUCUAUGAUCAGAAUGAAGCGCUUGUUGUGGAUUCACCUCUUUCUAGGUCUGAUGAUUCUGUUUGCUGGAACGAAUGGGUGGACAGAGAUGGAGGUGGACUUGGGGGGAAAUGUAACAAUCCCCUGUUCUCUUAAACUGAACGAAAGUGUUGUCUGGUAUAAACAACAUGAGGCUCAGUCUCCUAUGUUCUUACUACACUUACUGCAUGAUAAAUUUCCAUUUUACAUCAAUAACAGUUUCAAGAAGAAAUACUUUUUACUACAAGAUGAAGGAUUGUUGAUACAGAACGUCACAAUGGAGGAUUAUGUGGUUUAUUACUGUGGUAAGAAAGAUGGUAUCAGAAUGAAGUUCGACAACGCCACCAGGCUUGUUAGUGUGAGACAUCCUAAGACCACAGAUGAUCCAUCUGAACCCAAGAUCGGGACUCCCGGUUCAGAGCUUACUUGCUCAAAUCUACUUAUACGUUCUACUGUCAUGAACGGGAUAUUUCUAUUACUGUGUAAAUUAAGUUGGAUUCUCCGAAGUAUUUCUUAUUGUAGUGUUUUUCCACCCUUACAUUCUUUAUUCAAAUACGCUUAUGCAUAUACUUAUACGAAUAUAAUCAUACUAUUAUCAUACUUGGGGCAGAAUAUGAUCAUGGUCAUUGUACACUAAGGCAGUAUGUGUUCCUUCUCCUCAAGCGGUUGUGAGUAGUUGUUGGAUUUACGGCCUGUGUAGGAGAGCCUCCACCCAGGGUGCUGGUCCUCCUCCACCUCCUGGUCCUCCUCCACCUCCUGGUCCUCCUCCACCUCCUGGUCCUCCUCAACCAGACCAUGAGCCACAGCACGAGGCGAUACAGCUGUCACCGCCAGAAAGGACACAGCAGCCUAUAUAACUACUUAUUCCCGAGUGCAAUUCUCAACCAGCACACAUACAAUGUCCUUCUCGGUGGCAUGUUUCAUUAUAAGUGGGUGGAACAUGUCCUUUUUUUAAACGGCUAAUCCAUCCCCAUCUACACUUUUUCUUACGAAAUUCUAUUUAACGGCCACAUCCUCAGUUAUUUCAAAAGCAACCUACACCAGUGGUACAAUGAAAUGCCAGAUUGCACUCACACACAGGCUGCUGUUGCAUCUGUGGCUAGGACCCGUUAACCAUAUCCUGUCAUCACAAUCCAUCUCAACUGCCAUUUUUUUACCUUUCACAUGUCCAAACACCUAUACAUAUUUAAAAAUUCAGAAAAGCACUUUAAGACCAGCCUAUCAUAGUCCUGUCCUCUCUCUGAUUUGUUAGGAUCCAGUAUCAAGAAGUGUUGAAAGCAUAGCACCUUAAAAUGUAUAUGUACUGCAUUUUUCUUACUCAUGUAACUUCAAAAGAAGUACAAUGAAAUCUUAAUUCAUCUCAAAUUGAAGUAGUGUCUUGGUGAUUGUCUGUUUUCUGUGUCUGAUGCAGUAGAAAUGUAUUGUACAGCCUCUUACACUUACAAAGACAUUUACAUUUAGUCAUUUGGCAGACGCUCUUAUCCAGAGCGACUUACAGUAAGUACAGGGACAUUCCCGCCGAGGCAAGUAGGGUGAAGUGCCUUGCCCAAGGCAACAACGUCAUUUGGCACGGCCGGGAAUCGAACUGGCAACCUUCAGAUUACUAGCCCGAUUCCCUAACCGCUCAGCCACCUGACUCCUGAUUCCCCACAGGAUGUCUGUGGGGAAUCUUUACUGAUCUUGUUUCACUUUGUUGUAACCAUUGUGAUGCAUCAAAUUACACACCUUCAGUCACAUGAUAGAUCAUUGAGUAUUUUAUAACGUGCAUCAGAAAUGGUAAAAUUGGACAUUUCCUUAAGAUAUUAAACAUCUAGAACAAAAUAGGUAUCUGUACAAGCUGGGUGUUGAAAAUAAGUAUUAUACUGUGACUCCUUCCAUUCUAGAGGGCGUCUACAUUGAGUGGUAACAUGAUGGGGAUGUUCCGGAUCUUUCAUGAUCUCAUGUAGCCUGGUUCUAACCUGAAAAUUGUGUCAAUGUCCAAAUAUUUAUGGACCUAACUGUAUGUUAUGGAUUCUCUUGAACUUUUAAGGCAUUUUCUACUGCAGCUAUGGU